rnacentral:rRNA from 1 species
CCUACGGGGGGCAGCAGUGGGGAAUAUUGGACAAUGGGGGGAACCCUGAUCCAGCCAUGCCGCGUGUGUGAAGAAGGCCCUCGGGUUGUAAAGCACUUUCAGUGAGGAAGAACGCCUGGUGGUUAAUACCCAUCAGGAAAGACAUCACUCACAGAAGAAGCACCGGCUAACUCCGUGCCAGCAGCCGCGGUAAUACGGAGGGUGCGAGCGUUAAUCGGAAUUACUGGGCGUAAAGCGCGCGUAGGUGGCUUGAUAAGCCGGCUGUGAAAGCCCCGGGCUCAACCUGGGAACGGCAUCCGGAACUGUCAAGCUAGAGUGCAGGAGAGGAAGGUAGAAUUCCCGGUGUAGCGGUGAAAUGCGUAGAGAUCGGGAGGAAUACCAGUGGCGAAGGCGGCCUUCUGGACUGACACUGACACUGAGGUGCGAAAGCGUGGGUAGCAAACAGGAUUAGAUACCCUAGUAGUC